UACAGAGGUCCCAAGCGUUGUUCGGAUUCACUGGGCGUAAAGGGUGCGUAGGCGGUCGGGUAAGUCUGAUGUGAAAUCUCACAGCUUAACUGUGAAACUGCAUUGGAUACUAUCCGGCUUGAGGAAUGGAGGGGAGACUGGAAUACUUGGUGUAGCAGUGAAAUGCGUAGAUAUCAAGUGGAACACCAGUGGCGAAAGCGGCGCACUGGACCACAACUGACGCUGAGGCGCGAAAGCUAGGGGAGCAAACAGG
rnacentral:rRNA from 1 species